UCUGUGGGAAUGGGGCAGGGGAACAAUGGGAAUUCCCACUGGAAUUUCCAUGGGAAUGGGGCAGGGAAAAUGGGAAUUUCUGUGGGAAUUCCAUGGGAAUGGGGCACAGAAAAUUGGGAAUUCCUAUUGGGAAUGGGGAAGGGAAAAUGGGAAUUUCCAUGGGAAUGGGGCAGGGAAAAUUGGGAAUUCCUAUUGGGAAUAGGGCUGGAAAAAUUGGGAAUUCUCAGUGGGAAUGGGGCAGGGAAAAUUGGGAAUUCCUAUUGGGAAUAGGGCAGGGGAACAAUGGGAAACAAUGGGAAUUCUCACUGGGAAUGGGCAGGAAAAAAUAGGGAUUCUCACUGGAAUUCCCAUGGGAAUAGGGCAGGAAAAAUUGGGAAUUCCUAUUGGGAAUGGGGCAGGGGAACAAUGGGAAUUCUCACUGGGAAUGGGGCAGGGGAACAAUGGGAAUUCCUACUGGGAAUGGGGCAGGAAAAAAUGGGAAUUCCCAUGGAAAUGGGGCAGGGAAAAUGGGAAUUUCUGUGGGAAUUCCUAUUGGAAAUGGGGCAGGGGAACAAUGGGAAUUCCUAUUGGGAAUGGAGCAGGGAAAAAAUGGGAAUUCUCACUGGAAUUCCCACUGGGAAUGGGGCAGGGAAAAUUGGGAAUUCCCUAUUGGGAAUGGGGCAGGAAAAAAUGGGAAUUUCUGUGGGAAUUCCAUAGGAAUGGGGCUGGGAAAAUUGGGAAUUCCCAUGGGAAUGGGGCGGGGGAAAAAUGGGAAUUCUCAUUGGGAAUGGGGCAGGGAAAAUGGGAAUUUCUGUGGGAAUUCUCACUGGGAAUGGGGCAGGGAAAAAAUGGGAAUUCUCACUGGAAUUCCCAUGGGAAUGGGGCUGGGAAAAUUGGGAAUUCCUAUUGGGAAUGGGGCAGGGGAACAAUGGGAUUUCUCACUGGGAAUGGGGCAGGGAAAACAGGAAUUCCCAAGCAAAUGGGGAAAAUGGGAAUUUCCAAUGGGAAUUGGGGUCAGGAUUUUUACGGGAUUUUUAUGGGAUUUUUGUGGGAUUUUUAUGGAAUUCCCACGGGAUCAGGGUUGGGAUUUUUAUGGGAUUUUUAUGGAAUUUUUAUGGAAUUUUUAUGGGAUUUUUGUGGAAUUCCCACGGGAUUGGGGUCAGGAUUUUUAUGGGAUUUUUGUGGGAUUCCCACGGGAUCAGGAUCAGGAUUUUUAUGGGAUUUUUAUGGGAUUUUUAUGGGAUUUUUGUGGGAUUUUUAUGGAAUUCCCACGGGAUUGGGGUCAGGAUUUUUAUGGGAUUUUUGUGGAAUUUUUAUGGGAUUUUUGUGGAAUUUUUAUGGGAUUUUUAUGGAAUUUUUAUGGAAUUUUUUAUGGAAUUUUUAUGGAAUUUUUUAUGGGAUUUUUCUGGAAUUCCCACG
rnacentral:lncRNA from 1 species